rnacentral:lncRNA from 1 species
CUUAUAAUCGAAUGCUAUUUGGCCUUUUGAUCAUUCAUUUUUUAUUUAACAGUCCAAAUCAUAUCAUGCUAAAUUGAUCAUGAAAAUGAUGUCUGAUUGAAGUAAAAUUUUGAUAGUAUGCUAUAAAUAUUAUCAAGAUUAUUUUUAUAAAUUUUUAGAUCCAUCGAAGAUCUCUAUCUAUCAGAUCAUCAUGCAAUCAUUCGUGAUCAUUGAAAUCAAAUUUUAUUGAUCGAUAUAGCUAGGGCGACC